GCCGACAUAGCUCAGUGGUAGAGCAACACUUUCGUAAAGUGUGGGUCACAGGUUCAAAUCCUGUUGUCGGCU
rnacentral:tRNA from 1 species